rnacentral:misc_RNA from 1 species
GAUGAAGAACGCAGCGAAAUGCGAUACGUAAUGUGAAUUGCAAAUUCAGUGAAUCAUCGAGUCUUUGAACGCACAUUGCGCCCCCUGGUAUUCCGGGGGGCAUGCCUGUCCGAGCGUCAUUGCUGCCCUCAAGCACGGCUUGUGUGUUGGGCCCCGUCCUCCGAUUCCGGGGGACGGGCCCGAAAGGCAGCGGCGGCACCGCGUCCGGUCCUCGAGCGUAUGGGGCUUUGUCACCCGCUCUGUAGGCCCGGCCGGCGCUUGCCGAUCAACCCAAAUUUUUAUCCAGGUUGACCUCGGAUCAGGUAGGGAUACCCGCUGCACUUAAGCAUAUCAAUAAGCGGAGGA